rnacentral:rRNA from 1 species
UACGUAGGGGGCAAGCGUUGUCCGGAUUUAUUGGGCGUAAAGAGCGUGUAGGCGGCCUGAAAGGUCAGCUGUGAAAACUCGAGGCUCAACCUCGAGACGUCGGUUGAAACCAUCUGGCUAGAGUCCGGAAGAGGAGAGUGGAAUUCCCGGUGUAGCGGUGAAAUGCGCAGAUAUCGGGAGGAACACCGGUGGCGAAGGCGGUUCUCUGGGCCUUACCUGACGCUGAGGAGCGAAAGCGUGGGGAGCGAACAGG